CGGGGGAAAAUUUAUUGCUAUUAGAUGAGCCUAUAUUAGAUUAGCUAGUUGGUGGAGUAAUAGCCUACCAAGGCAAUGAUCUAUAGCUGAUCUGAGAGGAUGAUCAGCCACACUGGAACUGAGAUACGGUCCAGACUUCUACGGGAGGCAGCAGUGGGGAAUAUUGGACAAUGGGCGAAAGCCUGAUCCAGCCAUGUCGCAUGAGUGAAGAAGGCCUUUGGGUUGUAAAGCUCUUUUAGUGAGGAAGAUAAUGACGGUACUCACAGAAGAAGUCCUGGCUAACUCCGUGCCAGCAGCCGCGGUAAUACGGAGAGGGCUAGCGUUAUUCGGAAUUAUUGGGCGUAAAGGGCGCGUAGGCUGAUUAAUAAGUUAAAAGUGAAAUCCCAAGGCUUAACCUUGGAAUUGCUUUUAAAACUAUUAAUCUAGAGAUUGAAAGGGGAUAGAGGAAUUCCUGAUGUAGAGGUAAAAUUCGUAAAUAUUAGGAGGAACACCAGUGGCGAAGGCAUCUAUCUGGUUCAAAUCUGACGCUGAGGCGCGAAGGCGUGGGGAGCAAACAGGAUUAGAUACCCUGGUAGUCCACGCUGUAAACGAUGAAUGUUAAAUAUGGG
rnacentral:rRNA from 1 species